GACGAACGCUGGCGGCGUGCUUAACACAUGCAAGUCGAACGAUGAAACCUAGCUUGCUAGGUCGAUUAGUGGCGAACGGGUGAGUAACACGUGACUAACCUGCCCCUUUCUCUGGGAUAACGCUCCGAAAGGAGUGCUAAUACAGGAUACUCACACCGAGGAACAUGCCUUGGUGUGGAAAGUUUUUCGGAAGGGAUGGAAUAGCGGCCUAUCAGCUUGUUGGUGAGGUAACGGCUCACCAAGGCGACGGCGGGUAGCCGGGCUGAGAGGGCGACCGGCCACACUGGGACUGAGACACGGCCCAGACUCCUACGGGAGGCAGCAGUGGGGAAUAUUGCACAAUGGGCGCAAGCCUGAUGCAGCGACGCCGCGUGAGGGAUGAAGGUCUUCGGAUUGUAAACCUCUUUCAGUAGGGACGAAGCGAAAGUGACGGUACCUAAAGAAGAAGCACCGGCUAACUACGUGCCAGCAGCCGCGGUAA
rnacentral:rRNA from 1 species